rnacentral:lncRNA from 1 species
AAACCGGGGAUUAGGAGGGAUUGCUAAAACACUCUAAACUGACUCAAAUCUGUAAAACAAAGUUUAAAAUACGAAACUAGACUCAAAGAAUGCGAAACUAAACUCUAAAACACUAAAACGAACCAAAAGACUCAAAACAGCAAACAAACACUCAAAACUGCCUAAAACCCACUUUCUGGGCAGUUUUGGGACUCUAACAUAACUUGGACGAUUUUGGUUUUCUAAUGACCUAAAACACCUAAAAACAUAUUCUAAGACUAGUUCUAGUUAAUAUGACUCAAAGAAAUAAGGUGGGAUUGAUUUUGGACGAAAAUAAUUAAAACAAAACAAGAACAAAGUAAACAGAUUUUUAGACAAAGUUAAGUAAAUUGAUGGGUGAUAGAUCAACUAGAGGGUUCUUCUCCACACAUGAUACACUUGCAUUCAACUUUGAUUUCCAAUUGCUUCUUUCAAUGAAUUAUGAACCUCAACGCCCUAGGUUAACUGUGAUAGCACUUUUUUUUAACCUUCAAGUCUUCCUUACGUUAUUGAAUUGGAUGGGAAUGCACAUGCAACAACUCAAAGAUUCUCUAAAAGUUCCUUACGUGAAAAGCACAAUAAAGAUACAAUCAAAGAUCAUUAAGCUUCAUGAAAACUAUAAGCAUUGACGAGGCAAUUGUUACUAUGAAAAGCAUGAAACGUUUGCCAAGAAUUCACUUAACACGAUCGUUUAUAAGCGACCUCCACUACUUGCAAACAUAAAGUUGUAACUAUUAGGUGAAACUUCCUUAUGUUUUAGCUUCAAAUUCCUGCAUGAAAACUAAGUUGGCCACCUUAAUUAACACACAAAAAUAAGUCAUUAAUCAAACGGUUAAGCAAACUGCAUUCACAAUUCAUGAAAUAACAAUUAGACGUAAUCAAUACAUCUUGCAAGCAUAAUCAUGGUAUUGAAUAACCCCCUAGCCAAAAGGCUUAGUUCCUCAUGUUCACAAAACAAAGGAAAACAGAUUCAUACAUUCUAAAUAUAAGAAAGAGAACACCUAAAUAUUCCAACGAUUCGAUGUUGAACGGCUAGAAUCUUCAAGUACUUCUUCUUCCUCUCCUUUGCUGCGGCACAGGGACUAUGGGCAGGUUCUUGGGUUAUUGCAUGAUGUAGAAUGGAUGGGGGAUGUAUGGAAGUGUUUAGGAUUGAUGGGUGGUGCGGCUAGGGGUGAUUGGUGGCAGAAAUUUGGGUGAAUGGUGGUAGAAUGGUGCGGCUGAAGGUGGAGAUUGGUUUCUGGCGUGAAUGAUGAGUUUCUGGAUGAGUGGGGCUCUUUGUGGCUGCACAAGGAUGUUUAUUUAAAGGGAUUUUGGAAAUUCAAACCCUAGGUUAAUUAGGCAAACAGAAAUUAAGUCUAAGGCUUCUAGAAUUAGGAAACAAAAUCAGAAACUUAAGGGAAAUUAGCUAAAAGGUGCGACUAGGGUAUGAAACACAAAAGGAAAGUGUUUUAAUUCAGAAAAUAGGGAAGAAUCACUCUCCCUUGCACUGCAAGGAAGAGGAAACGUCAUGGGAAUGCGGCUGUGAUGUAGGAAAGGUUUAGGGAAAGGUUUGAUGUCCUAAAACUGAAGGGGAAGUGGAUCCCUUGCACGGCAAGGGGAUGGAUGAUUGGGAAAGGUGUGGCAAAGGUCCCUAAGAGUUCUAGGGCCUUUGUUUUGUGUCCUCAAAUGCAUAUGUAGUCCUCAAAGUGGCUGGAACAUGAGUACUUUUAGAAUUAGGAAAGGUCAAACCAAAAUAGAAAACCUUGGCUUAACUUUCCUACUUCAAGUAGGAAUCCUUAUGUGAUUAGGAAUCCAUCGUCAAUUAGGAAUCCUUCGUUGAUUAGGAAUCCUUCCUUGAUUAGGAAUCCUUCGUUGAUUAGGAAUCCUAAUUUUGUCAAGUCUUCAAUUCAUCCAUUCCUUUUGCUCCAAAAGGCUCCAAAUUACAUCAUUUUGCACACUUCGGCUUUGGAAUCUGAAAACACACAAAAGUGACUUUAAACACUAAAAUAACUAAGGAAACACAACUUAAAUGCACGAGAACAAGCCAAUUAAGUCGCAUAAAUAUGCUCCUAUCAACUGAUUAGCUAGUAAAUCCGAUAAUAUUUCACUAAGGAAGGU